rnacentral:rRNA from 1 species
UACAGAGGGGGCAAGCGUUAUUCGGAAUUACUGGGCGUAAAGCGCACGUAGGCGGAUUUGUAAGUCAGGGGUGAAAUCCCGGGGCUCAACCUCGGAACUGCCUUUGAUACUGCAAAUCUCGAGUCCGGAAGAGGUGAGUGGAAUUCCUAGUGUAGAGGUGAAAUUCGUAGAUAUUAGGAAGAACACCAGUGGCGAAGGCGGCUCACUGGUCCGGUACUGACGCUGAGGUGCGAAAGCGUGGGGAGCGAACAGG